rnacentral:rRNA from 1 species
ACGAACGCUGGCGGCGUGCUUAACACAUGCAAGUCGUACGGUAAGGCCCUUUCGGGGGUACACGAGUGGCGAACGGGUGAGUAACACGUGAGUAACCUGCCCACAACUUUGGGAUAACGCUAGGAAACUGGUGCUAAUACUGGAUAUGUGCUCCUGCUGCAUGGUGGGGGUUGGAAAGCUCCGGCGGUUGUGGAUGGACUCGCGGCCUAUCAGCUUGUUGGUGGGGUAGUGGCCUACCAAGGCGGCGACGGGUAGCCGGCCUGAGAGGGUGACCGGCCACAUUGGGACUGAGAUACGGCCCAGACUCCUACGGGGGGCAGCAGUGGGGAAUAUUGCACAAUGGGCGCAAGCCUGAUGCAGCAACGCCGCGUGCGGGAUGACGGCCUUCGGGUUGUAAACCGCUUUCAGCAGGGACGAAGCUUUUUGUGACGGUACCUGCAGAAGAAGCACCGGCUAACUACGUG